rnacentral:lncRNA from 1 species
GGGGGUGAGCAAUGGGGUCCCAGGGCUGUGGGGUCCUGCUGCUGCAGCCGCUCUGUGGGGCAGGGAUGAGGGGGUCACAGGUCAGGGGUCAUAGGUCAUGGGGUCACUGGGUGAGCAGUGGGGUCCCAGGGCUGUGGGGUCCCGCUGCUGCAGCCGCUCUGUGGGGCAGGGGGCAAAGGUCAGGGGUCAUGGGGUGAGCAGUGGGGUCACAGAGACGUGGGGUGAUGGGAACGCAGUGAGGGAUAUGGGCUGUGGGGUGGGGUCACGGGGUCACGGGGUCAGGAGGUCGCGGGGUCGCGGGCGCCCACCCCUCAGUUUGCGCAGUGACGCCUCCACCUCCGUCUCAAUCAGCGGGAAGUCCUGCCGGCUGGGGCACCUGCGGGCACCCCAUAGCGCCCCAUAGCACCCCAUAGCGCCCCAUAGUGCCCCACAGUGCCCCAUAGCACCCCACAGAGCCCCACAGUGCCCCACAGCACCCUAUAGCGCCCCACAGCACCCCAUAGCGCCCCACAGUGCCCCAUAGCAUCCCACA